rnacentral:rRNA from 1 species
AGGGCGCAUGGUGAAUGCCUUGGCACUAGGAGCCGAUGAAGGACGGGACUAACACCGAUAUGCUUCGGGGAGCUGUACGUAAGCUAUGAUCCGGAGAUUUCCGAAUGGGGCAACCCAGCAGUUUUAAUCAACUGUUACCACUAGAUGAAUUCAUAGUCUAGUUGGAGGUAAACGCUGUGAACUGAAACAUCUCAUUAGCAGCAGGAAUAUAAAGAAAUUUCGAUUCCCUAAGUAGCGGCGAGCGAACGGGGAACAGCCCAAACCAAAGUGCUUGCACUUUGGGGUUGUAGGACUGGACAUUUGAGUUACCAAAGAACUUGAUAGUCGAAGGAUUUGGGAAAAUCCGCCAUAGAUGGUGAUAGCCCAGUAGAUUAAAUCAAAUUCUCUCAGUUCAGGAUCCUGAGUACGGCGGAACACGUGAAAUUCCGUCGGAAUCCGGGAGGACCAUCUCCCAAGGCUAAAUACUACCUAGUGACCGAUAGUGAACCAGUACCGUGAGGGAAAGGUGAAAAGCACCCCGGGAGGGGAGUGAAAUAGUUCCUGAAACCAUGUGCCUACAAUAAGUCAGAGCGCGUUAAUGCGUGAUGGCGUGCCUUUUGUAGAAUGAACCGGCGAGUUAUGAUCCCGUGCAAGGUUAAGACUAAAAAGUCGGAGCCGUAGCGAAAGCGAGUCUGAAAUGGGCGUUUUGAGUACGAGGUUAUAGACCCGAAACCAGGUGACCUAUCCAUGUCCAGGUUGAAGGUGCGGUAAAACGCACUGGAGGACCGAACCCGUGUAAGUUGAAAAUUGCUGGGAUGAGGUGUGGAUAGCGGUGAAAUUCCAAACGAACUUGGAGAUAGCUGGUUCUCUCCGAAAUAGCUUUAGGGCUAGCCUCGGAAUUAGGAUCAUGGAGGUAGAGCACUAUUUGGACUAGGGGCCCGUCUUGGGUUACUGAAUUCAGAUAAACUCCGAAUGCCAUUGAUUCAUAUCCGGGAGUCAGACGAUGAGUGAUAAGAUCCACCGUCGAAAGGGGAACAGCCCAGACCAUCAGUUAAGGUCCCUAAAUGUAUGCUAAGUGGAAAAGGAUGUGGAGUUGCAUAGACAACUAGGAUGUUGGCUCAGAAGCAGCCACCAUUUAAAGAGUGCGUAAUAGCUCACUAGUCGAGUGAUCCUGCGCCGAAAAUGUACCGGGGCUAAGCAUACUACCGAAACCAUGGAUGCGACCAUUAGGUCGCGUGAUAGGAGAGCGUUCUAAGGGCGGUGAAGCAAGAUCGUGAGGACUUGUGGAGCGCUUAGAAGUGAGAAUGCCGGUAUGAGUAGCGAAAGAUAGGUGAGAAUCCUAUCCACCGAAUGACUAAGGUUUCCUGGGGAAGGCUCGUCCUCCCAGGGUUAGUCGGGACCUAAGUCGAGGCCGAGAGGCGUAGACGAUGGAUAACAGGUUGAGAUUCCUGUACUAGUUAAGUGCGUUUGAGCAAUGGAGGGACGCAGGAGGCUAAGAUGUGCAUUCUGUUGGAUUAGAAUGUCCAAGCAGUAAGUCUUGUGAAGAGUCAAAUGCUUUUCACUUUAAGGACAAGCUGUGAUGGGGAGCGAAAUUUAGUAGCGAAGCGUCUGAUGUCACACUGCCGAGAAAAGCUUCUAGUGAGUACUUAACUACCCGUACCGCAAACCGACACAGGUAGUCGAGGAGAGAAUCCUAAGGUGAGCGAGUGAACUCUCGUUAAGGAACUCGGCAAAAUGACCCCGUAACUUCGGGAGAAGGGGUGCUGAUCGCAAGAUCAGCCGCAGUGAAUAGGCCCAGGCGACUGUUUAUCAAAAACACAGGUCUCUGCAAAAUCGUAAGAUGACGUAUAGGGGCUGACGCCUGCCCGGUGCUGGAAGGUUAAAAGGAUGGGUUAGCUUCGGCGAAGCUCAGAAUUGAAGCCCCAGUAAACGGCGGCCGUAACUAUAACGGUCCUAAGGUAGCGAAAUUCCUUGUCGGGUAAGUUCCGACCCGCACGAAAGGCGUAACGAUCUGGGCACUGUCUCAACGAGAGACUCGGUGAAAUUAUAUUGUCCGUGAAGAUGCGGACUACCCGCGACAGGACGGAAAGACCCCAUGGAGCUUUACUGUAGCUUGAUAUUGAGUGUUUGUACAGCUUGUACAGGAUAGGUAGGAGCCAUAGAAACCGGAACGCUAGUUUCGGUGGAGGCGUUGGUGGGAUACUACCCUCGCUGUAUGACCACUCUAACCCGCACCACUAAUCGUGGUGGGAGACAGUGUCAGGUGGGCAGUUUGACUGGGGCGGUCGCCUCCUAAAAAGUAACGGAGGCGCCCAAAGGUUCCCUCAGAAUGGUUGGAAAUCAUUCGCAGAGUGUAAAGGCACAAGGGAGCUUGACUGCGAGACAGACAGGUCGAGCAGGGACGAAAGUCGGGCUUAGUGAUCCGGUGGUACCGUAUGGAAGGGCCAUCGCUCAACGGAUAAAAGCUACCCUGGGGAUAACAGGCUUAUCUCCCCCAAGAGUCCACAUCGACGGGGAGGUUUGGCACCUCGAUGUCGGCUCAUCGCAUCCUGGGGCUGUAGUCGGUCCCAAGGGUUGGGCUGUUCGCCCAUUAAAGCGGUACGCGAGCUGGGUUCAGAACGUCGUGAGACAGUUCGGUCCCUAUCCGUCGCGGGCGUAGGAAAUUUGAGAGGACCUGUCCUUAGUACGAGAGGACCGGGAUGGACAUACCUCUGGUGUACCAGUUGUGCCGCCAGGCGCAUCGCUGGGUAGCUACGUAUGGAUGUGAUAAACGCUGAAAGCAUCUAAGUGUGAAACACACCUCGAGAUGAGAUUUCCCAUUCCUUUAU